AUGGCCCUUAUUGACUUAGGACGUCUCGCUUUCUGGCGCCCAUUCGGCCCCCUUGAGGUGGCCGCUUAGGACUCCCUCCUCCAGGACAUCGCCCUUCUUCCGAUGGACAUCGAGGGUGCCCCUGAUUCCUUCACUUGGCAUCUAGAGUCCUCUGGCCGCUUCUCCACUAAGUCCUUAUACGCAGCCAUCGCACCCUCGGCAGCCCCUAAGCCAUUUAGCCUGAUCUGGGACAUUCGCUUACCUCUGAAGAUCGGGAUCUUCCUGUGGCAGUGGAUCCGUGGAUGUCUCCCCUCUGGGGUUGAGGUCCUCGAGCGUAAUGGGCCAGGAGAUGGGAUGUGCCCCCUGUGCGGCACGGUGGAGGAUGCUAACCACAUCUUCUUCUCUUGCUCCACUGCCCAGUUCCUAUGGUCCUGCUUCCGUGAGACGGUCGGUGGACAGUGGUGCAACACCAACUUCACCGACUUGCUUGCGGAGAUCCACGCCUCCUCCCCUCGCUACCGCCAUAUUUGA
rnacentral:rRNA from 1 species